UACGGAGGGAGCUAGCGUUGUUCGGAAUUACUGGGCGUAAAGCGUACGUAGGCGGUUACUCAAGUCAGAGGUGAAAGCCCGGGGCUCAACCCCGGAACUGCCUUUGAAACUAGGUAGCUAGAAUCUUGGAGAGGCGAGUGGAAUUCCGAGUGUAGAGGUGAAAUUCGUAGAUAUUCGGAAGAACACCAGUGGCGAAGGCGACUUACUGGACACAUAUUGACGCUGAGGUGCGAAAGCGUGGGGAGCAAACAGG
rnacentral:rRNA from 1 species